UGAGUAGUUUUUUUACAACAUACUUUUUACUUUUACUCAAGUAAAUAUUUGGGUGACUACUCCUUACUUUUACUUGAGUAAUACAUCUCUAAAGUAAUAGUACUCUUACUUGAGUACAAUUUCUGGCUACUCUACCCACCUCUGUUUACGGCAGACGAACUGCUUUACGCUAGACGAAAACGUGACUGCUGUUGUUGUGUGUUGUUACCGCGCUGGGAGGACGUUAAUGAAACUGCCUAACAAUAAACCCACAUAAGAAACCAAGAACUCGCCCUCGAUCAUUCUACAGUUAUAACGUGAUUGGGCAGGCACGCUGUUUAUAUUGUGGGAAAGCGGACGUGAAAACAGGCUGUCGACACGUCACUCAGGUCCGCCUGAAUUCCGGGAGAUUUUCGGGAGAAAAUUUGUCCCGGGAGGUUUUCGGGAGAGGCGCUGAAUUUCGGGAGUCUCACGGAAAAUCCGGGAGGGUUGGCAAGUAUGCAAGUUGCAUGUUUUUACACUUUGAGGAUUUUGAUUGUAUUUUUAAUUGCAUGCUUUGCUGGCAUUUUAAGACGUUGCCCCUUUUGCUUGUUGCCCCUGACGACCAAAGUGCCAAUCGAACGGCACCUGAAAUCAGACGCACCUGUGGAGCAUUAGCACUGCACACAUUUAAAGGAGAGAGCGACCGAGAGAAAGGAACAGAAGGAAGAGCGACCGGAGAGUAUCGACAGGCUUUGCUAAGAGCGUCCAGGUGGACGCCCGCAGACUGGGAAGGAAUCCAGGACUACACAGCUACCGGAAUGAACCCCAAGAAGCCCACAACACGCAGGGGCAGAGGAAACUCUGCCUCCGAAGUAAGUGCCGUGGAUUGUGGAUCUGUGGGGGCGAUCAACUGCCUUUGGCUGUGGGCUUGCGGGCUCGUGCGUUGUACGCUGGCUGUGUGGUCCUGUGGGCAGGAGCGGUCGGGACCCAGAGACCUGCGGUGACUCCCGGGAGCGAUCAAGAGGCGGAGCGAGAUGGGACGAGUACGGCCACGUAGGUCCCACCGGAGACUGGUGAGGAGAGUGGGGGUACUCAAUAUUUCUACGCGGAACUACAGCAGAGGAGGACGCCGUGGAAGUGGGCGGAGCCAGGACACUGACCCACUACGCCUGUCGUGACUGUACCCUAAUUCGGAUUAUAAUAAAUUGUGAACAAGCAUAA